CUUUGAGAGCAGUUGGUGCUGCAUUGCUUGAGCUCCCCUCUCUUUCACAGCUUCGUAGGUAGAUUGCUUCACAGGCCAGGGGUCUGAAGUUUCCUUAGUAAUGAUCACUCUAAAAUUGUAGUUGCCGGUAGCAGCAGCAGUGCGGUCCUGCCACCCUCCGGCUGCCACUCCAGUACUCAGCUCAUGUUUCUUCAACCAGUACCAAUCAGUGUUAUCACUGAUCUUGCUCACCCAGAAGCAAGAUCCCAGAAGGGCUGGAAGCAAUUGCAUCUUCUAGAAAUGCAAAGCAGAGAGGUUUUUUGUUGGUGAGAGCUGGAGGUCUGUUCUCUCAGCUCCUCUUGCUGCCCUUGGGGACCCUCAGAGCUGGGGGUGAAUGUACUGGCUUCAUCUCUGCAGGGCUGAGGCUGCCCUCCUGAACUUCCAGCUUGCCACAGCAUCUGUAAAUCCUUUAAUUGCCCUUUGUCCAAGACAGAGCUGUGAGUCCCUACUGGUGAUCAUAACAAGGAAGCUUUGGGAUGCAUUCCUGUCCAAGUAUAGAGGUGGAAAUUCCAAUGCGUUUGAGUGAGAGCUGCAUGAGUGUUGUACAGAAGUGUGUGUGGUUCCCAGGACUUGAAAUCCUGAUCUGAAAGUGCUUAAACCCAGCACCUCUCCAUGUGCUUUAGAGCUGAUUUCUGUAGUUUGCUACCAUUCUCCUAGCCAGGAUGAGGUUGCUGAACUCUAUCACCUCACUGGUGCUUCCCAGGGUAGUUCCCUGGCACUCCAAGCACUCCAGAGGCAUGCUCAUGCUCCUAACGUAGAGUAGAGCAGCAGUGAUGAUUACUAACCUUGCCAAUUGACACAGCCAAUCAGAAUGCACGGUGCAUGUAAACCUCCUUGAUUCCUUAUUCAUCUGCCAGCACAGGGACACCAGCCCUGGACCUGCUGGACCUUCGGACAGGAUUACAUGUACCAGGAGCGGUAGGGAAGGGAGUAGGUUUUGGUUGGACCAGUUCACUGGAUGAUGAGGAAAUUGCUUCAUCCCGUAGUCUGGAUUCUGACAUGCUUCUCUGGAAGACCAACCCUUGGAUGAACCUCAGGAGCCAUCCAGCUCCAGCUAGGAGUGUGUCCUGUCCUGAGAUAUUUUGAUGGCAAGAGCAACGGGUUUGGCUGUGGUUUGGAAGCUCUCUUUGGAUUAAGUAGUGUGAUCUUUGGGGAAAAUGUCAGAGGCAGAAAACCUGCCCAGGGCUACUCAAUCUGAGGAGUGGUGGGGUUGGAGCCACCCAAUUCCCCUUUCUCUUGUCUUUUCUAUUU